UACGUAGGGUGCAAGCGUUGUCCGGAAUUAUUGGGCGUAAAGAGCUCGUAGGCGGUUAGUCGCGUCUGCUGUGAAAACUCGGGGCUUAACCCUGGGCCUGCAGUGGGUACGGGCUGACUAGAGUGCGGUAGGGGAGACUGGAAUUCCUGGUGUAGCGGUGAAAUGCGCAGAUAUCAGGAGGAACACCGGUGGCGAAGGCGGGUCUCUGGGCCGAUAUCGACGCUGAGGAGCGAAAGCGUGGGGAGCGAACAGG
rnacentral:rRNA from 1 species